AAAAAUCUCAUUGAUCGGAAAUCCCUUCCGGUCGAUGAGAUUGUUACAUCUCAUCGAUUGGAAGGAAUCCCUUCUGAUAGAUGAGGUAUAACAACCUCAUCAAUUGGAAGGGAUUCCUUCCAAUUGAUGAGGUUGUU
rnacentral:miRNA from 1 species